GUACACUCCUACGGGAGGCAGCAGUGGGGAAUUUUGGACAAUGGGCGAAAGCCUGAUCCAGCCAUGCCGCGUGCAGGAUGAAGGCCUUCGGGUUGUAAACUGCUUUUGUACGGAACGAAACGGCCUUUUCUAAUAAAGAGGGCUAAUGACGGUACCGUAAGAAUAAGCACCGGCUAACUACGUGCCAGCAGCCGCGGUAAUACGUAGGGUGCAAGCGUUAAUCGGAAUUACUGGGCGUAAAGCGUGCGCAGGCGGUUAUGUAAGACAGUUGUGAAAUCCCCGGGCUCAACCUGGGAACUGCAUCUGUGACUGCAUAGCUAGAGUACGGUAGAGGGGGAUGGAAUUCCGCGUGUAGCAGUGAAAUGCGUAGAUAUGCGGAGGAACACCGAUGGCGAAGGCAAUCCCCUGGACCUGUACUGACGCUCAUGCACGAAAGCGUGGGGAGCAAACAGGAUUAGAUACCCCAGUAGUCCC
rnacentral:rRNA from 1 species